GAUGAAGAACGUAGCGAAAUGCGAUACUUGGUGUGAAUUGCAGAAUCCCGUGAACCAUCGAGUCUUUGAACGCAAGAUGCGCCCGAAGCCAUUAGGCCGAGGGCACGCCUGCCUGGGCGUCACACGUCGUUGCCCCCCCAUCUACUCCUUCGGGAUUGCGGGGGGCGGAUGAUGGCCUCUCGUGCGCCUCGUCGCGCGGUUGGCCUAAAUGCCAAGUCCUCGGCGACGCACGCCACGACAAUCGGUGGUUGCGAAACCUCGGUUGCCUGUCGUGUGCGGUCGUCGCGCAUCGAGGGCUCGAAAAAAUUGCCGGGCUUCGGCUCGACUUUCAACGCGACCCCAGGUCAGGCGGGGUUACCCGCUGAAUUUAAGCAUAUCAAUAAGCGGAGGA
rnacentral:misc_RNA from 1 species